rnacentral:piRNA from 1 species
UGUGUGGAAUGCCAGGAAGCCUCCUC